CCAGGAGCGUUGAGGAGGGCCCGGGAGGCAGUCGAAUCCGUGCUGAGGGAUGUCGGGCCUAGAAGGGCUGAGGAGGGUACUGCAGUUCGGGCGGGAAGGCUGAGACUCACUGGAGAAUUUCUAAAGGAUGUACAUUGGCAAGAAGUAAGUUAAACCUGGAAAGACUGAAUGAGAUAAAAUCGGUAACUGUUGGAAAAUGGGCGCCUGGGUGGCGCAGUCCGUUAAGCGUCCGACUUCAGCCAGGUCAC